AUCAGUGCUAAGCUAGACUAGUUGGAAACAGUUACCUCCAGCAUCGGUGCUAAGCUAGACUAGUUGGAACCAGUUACCUCCAGCAUCUGUGCUAAGCUAGUCUAGCGGUGGAGCAGGUCUACCUCCAGGCU